AAUGCCAUCAAAUCUAGCUGGAGUAACUGGCCCCCAGACUGGAAAGAGUCAGAUCCUUGUGGUUGGGAAGGGAUUAAUUGCACUGAUUCACGCGUAACCUCCAUGCACAGGGGUGGAAGGUAGUGACUUCAGUGACAUUUCAGCAUUGACGGAGUUGCAAUUUUUGGAUCUUUCUAACAACAUUGGACUUAAAGGGAUUCUUCCAGCAUCAAUUGGGAAGUUGAAGAAACUGACUACCUUGAUUUUGGUUGGUU